GCCAGAAUGAAGGGAAUCUGUAUUACAGGAUGUUUUAUUAAUACUUAAUGGAAAGAGCCAAAAACCUUUUGCCACUUGGCAGUUGUGAAAUAAGCCUUUUUAGCCAAUGAUAAGAACAGGAUGCUAUGUAAAUUAACACUUUGCACAGAAUUAAUGUAAGAUUUUCAAUCAUAGAACUGGCUCAGUGAGCACAAUGCAUUGGUUGGCACUAGUUAAAUGGUGUUUUAUGCCAUUUUUUAAAUUAAAAAAAAACAGAAUUACAGGAAAGACAGAGUAGAUAAUAAAUGUUAUUGCAAGUUCUCUACACAGAUGUAAGGCCACUCUUACAGUUUGUCCAUCAAGAAUACUUAUCAAACACCCACUGGAUACUAAAUUUGAGCUGUGUGGAAGCCAUAGUUUCUACAGUUUCAUAAUGAACAUACAAAUUUGGGAAUGGCAAAGUCAUGUUGAUUGUGAUUCUAUACUGAAGGAUGUGAUGGUAUUAUUGGCCUUUGAGCUUUCUAUCAGACAAAGAAAAAUUUUUAAAAACUACAAAUAUUCACUCAGUUCCUACCAUAGGCACAGGCCUUACUAUGUACAGUGAGACAUACAAAGUUGAAUAAGAUCCAACUGCUAUUGUCAUAAGUGUCAUAAUCUAGUGCAGGAGACAGGGACAUACAUCAAUAACCCUUUUAUGAAGCUCAUAAAAAUCAAAUAUCAUAAUAGAAAUAAAAAACAUCAUUCUUUGGGGAUAUUUGAAACAGAGUGAUUCAUUCCAACAGGGAUAUAGUGAACAGAGAAGGCUCAUUAAAGAAAGUGGAAUCUGAAUGAGAGCCUUAAAAAGUAGGUAGUGCUUUGGAACAAUGUCUCCGUUCUAAGAAUAUCCAAACAGAAUGAGCAAACUAAGCAGGCUCUAGGAAUGGGAAACUAUGGGAAUAUUCCGGGAAGAAGGAACUGAAUGCUCUGUGAGAUCCUUUUGUUUAUUUUCCACAUCUUGCUGGCACAUUGUAAAAGCUCAAGAAAUGCUCUGAAGGAUGAAAUAGUGCGGGUUAAUGUGACAGCGAUUAGUCAGCGGGAAAAUCCAUCACCCAGGGCAGAACAGGCUGAGGCAGAAAAGGCCUCUACGCUGUCCUGUUUCCAACACGAGAAGAAUGAUACUAUCAACAUCACUUCAAUAUUAAAUGGAUAGAAUUAUCUUGUCAUUCAGUUACAGCCUCUGAAGAACUACCUAUUUGUACCUGCAAAGGAAAGGUCAGCCUUUCUUAAUCACCCAUAAAAAUAUGUUGAUGGAUUCUUUAUAUCAAUAAUAGUGACGGGAACAGAGACAAGAAAGAAGCAUGACAAUUUAAAAGCAAGAAGUUUCUCCCUCAAAUCCUUAUGGGUCUUGUCCCAUAAUUUCUACUUACAUUAGAAUCGAAUUUCAAAGUCCAAUUUGUUGAGAAGGACACUGGUGCUGGCUUCCUCUCCUUCCUCAGAUUAUUACACCCGACUCUGGUUUUGAGAGUAAAUUCUACCUUUGCCAAACUGUUCAAUGAAUACUCCUCGGAGUAAUUAUUCCUAAGCCUGUUUGUAAACUGCCUUUCCAGAUGCAGCAAGUUUGAAUUUUUUUUAAAACUUGGUGAUGUGCUAAUAAUCUAUCUGCUCUUCAUUAAAGCUGUUAGUAGAGUUCACUUUAAAGUAUGUGAGGGGAGAGGAAGUCAUUGGUGACAUGGGCGGGCGCAACUAUUACAUCACUGAUACCCAUUCACAUAGUCAUCAUUCUAGUUUCUCAACUGACAGGAGGGUUAUAGAGAAAUCUUUUCUCUAUGUAAAAUAUGUAAAAAACACAAAAUCCUACUUUUUACUCUUUUU
ensembl:lncRNA